rnacentral:tRNA from 1 species
GGGCCCGUAACUCAGUCUGGUAGAGUGGCUGGCUCUUAACCAGUUUGUCGCGGGUUCAAAUCCCGUCGGGCUCA